AUUUUGUGUGGCUUAGCACCAGCCUUGAGCAGGACAGAAGUGUGCGGGCAGCUGCCCUGGGCUCAGUGAGGCCAGGAUCACCUGCAGCCCUUCCUAAGCUCUUUCACACAACAUAAAAAGCCUUUUUUGGGAUGUGCUGGCCCUGUCUAGCCGAAAGGCUGUGGAGUCAGCGCAGACAAGGCAUGAAAUGCUGUCUUUCUCAUCUGGUUCCAUUGAUAUGCCAUGUUGUAAUGGCUGAGAUUGGCAAAGAGUUGCACACCCCACAAGCCAAAUACCACGUUGUGGAACAGGGUUGUCUUGCUCCCCUGAGCUCCUUUGGUAAUCCCAGCUGGAAAGACUUUCUGGGAGAGACAGAAAUGCAGCCCCUGGGCUUUUGUUACUGAGUUUGGAGGCAAAACAAGCCUUGGCCAUCCAGCCUGUGGCCUGUUUGACCAGUGCUACGUGCUUCUGAGGGUGCUCUGCUCCCUUUUCACUAGAAAGCAGUUUUGUGCUCAACAGGCAACAGACUUUUCUAGCAUUUGCUCCUGUUCGCUGGUCUCCUCCGCUGCCUUCUCCUGCUCAGGGGGAGCAAAGGGGUGGUGCAGCCUGUGGGUUUUAACUGGACGCCGUCCCUUUAAUGUGGAGUUGUGUUUUUCUUUCAAUGCCAAAAAUAAAUGCUACUGAAGGAAUAAACAGACGUGAAAAGAAGCCUCGGACACUUGGAAGACAAGACUGCUUUGUGUUUCCCAAAGCAAUGAGCCUGCUCACAAGGAGGUUACUCUUCUAGAAAAACACAUGAGCCGUGUGCCAGUGCCAAGGUGGCCCGGUGUGGUCUGAGCAGCUCCGAGGCAACACAGCAUCUGAAAGCAGGCAACAGGUGAAGACUCAGGGAGCUGCUAGAUGAGGAGGUGCUCAUGGAGAGGAGCAGAAGGUCGAGGACUUCCUAUGACGAGGCACGCUCCAAAACCAAGAGGGCAAAACAAGAAGUCCUGAAGCAACAGUCCCAAAGUGGCCCAUUCCUGGAGCGCACCCACCAGGAAGGAGGCUCUUGCUGAGCUCCAGACGCUCCUGCGCGGCUUCAGUGGGUGGGUUUCUUCAUUCCCGGUUUGGUAAGAAGUACCCAGGUUCACUGAAAAUAACAUGCCUUUCUUGUGCCCGUUGUCUGGCUUAUCUGUUUGUAAAGUCCCUGGGCUAAGGAGCAUCUUUCAAGGCUGGCUUACGCCUAGCAAUUCCCUGUUCUGCAAUAGCUACUACAGAACGACGCCACGUGGAUGGGCUCAUUCCAGAGCAGCUGCUACAGCUGCAGAUUCAUACCAUACCUUAACUGGAGGAGCUUCAGCGUGGCACUGUGCCUUUUACCCACUUAAGCAAGACCUGGGACUCAGUUUGGGGUUUCUAGCCACUUCUCCUUUACAAAUAAUUAAACUUUAAGAAAAGUAGUUGAAAUGCUCCUGAGAAGAACAAAUAACAAAUGGGUAAAUAUUGCUUCAGAACCACAUAACCUAUGUAAAAAUAGGUAAGUGAUGUGUAAAGGCAAGUCUCUGCAGUCGGCGUGGAGAAAAAAAAUACAUGCAUUUCUAAUCUGUUGGCAUAAGUAGGUAGAUAAAGCAGAACUGACUGAUGAAUACAUCAAUUGAUAAACAUCACACAAAGUUUUAACAAAGCGUUUUUGAGAAGGUAAUGAGUAAACCAGCCCGACACAGGGCAAGGGGCUGUUGCUGCUGGAGGGGGCAGGUUAACUGGGCUGCGCACGCCCCUAGGUAGAGUUACUGAAGGGCAGAAGCUUCCAACGUUGUUGCAGAGUGCAAUGAAAACAAAAACAUUUACUCAAUGUACAAAAGCUCCCAGAAAAAUGCAAAUAAAGUGUUAGAAUGCAUAAAGCUAGCAAAUAACAGAAUGUUAAUGGUUCUGCUUAACAAAUGACAUCUUCACGUGCAAUUACUGCGUCAUGUUCUGAGCUGAAAAAUGAGAGUAGAAAUAACCCUCAGAGAAAGGGGACAAGAAUGAGCAGAGACCUGCAGUGAUUUUGGGCAGUUUGGCUGAAAGAAGAGUAAAAAAGGGGAUUAGGAGGGAGGGGACAGUUUACAGUAUAAUCAAUGGCAUUAAGGCUAAAAACACCAGCGUUUUCACAAGCACGAAAAGAAAGGGGUGAGACACUGAUAUAAUAAGCUAGCACACUACUGUCCUGGGAUUUGAGGAAACCAAUUUAUAAAGCCUAGAAGGGAACAUAAAGAGCCACGAGUGGAAACACUGGCAGGAUCGGGCCCUUACGUCUGCAAGCAAGCUGCUGUGCAGAAAUAUCGGGGGCAAAAAUCUGGAAAACAGUUCAGCCUGGCCGCUCGGGAGGGGGUAAUACCCGGCU